rnacentral:rRNA from 1 species
UACAGAGGUCUCAAGCGUUGUUCGGAUUCAUUGGGCGUAAAGGGCGCGUAGGCGGCGGGGUAAGUCGGGUGUGAAAUCUCAGAGCUCAACUCUGAAACUGCACUCGAUACUGCUCUGCUUGAGGACUGGAGAGGAGACUGGAAUUCACGGUGUAGCAGAGAAAUGCGUAGAUAUCGUGAGGAAGACCAGUGGCGAAGGCGGGUCUCUGGACAGUUCCUGACGCUGAGGCGCGAAGGCCAGGGGAGCAAACGGG